rnacentral:rRNA from 1 species
GACGAACGCUGGCGGCGUGCUUAACACAUGCAAGUCGAAUGGUGAAGCGCCUUCCUUUUUGGUGGGUGUGGAUGAGUGGCGAACGGGUGAGUAACACGUGAGUAACCUGCCCCCUUCUUCUGGAUAACCGCAUGAAAGUGUGGCUAAUACGGGAUAUUCUGGGUCUGUCGCAUGAUGGGUCUGGGAAAGAUAUUGUUUCGGUGGGGGAUGGGCUCGCGGCCUAUCAGCUUGUUGGUGGGGUGAUGGCCUACCAAGGCGGUGACGGGUAGCCGGCCUGAGAGGGUGGACGGUCACACUGGGACUGAGACACGGCCCAGACUCCUACGGGAGGCAGCAGGGGGGAAUAUUGCACAAUGGGCGCAAGCCUGAUGCAGCGACGCCGCGUGAGGGAUGGAGGCCUUCGGGUUGUGAACCUCUUUCGCCAGUGAAGCAGGCCUGCCUCGUUUGUGGGUGGGUUGACGGUAGCUGGAUAAGAAGCGCCGGCUAACUACGUG